rnacentral:sRNA from 1 species
GCUGGGCACGGUGGCGCACACCUGUCAUCCCAGCGGCUCGGGAGGCUGAGGCAGGAGUAUUGCGAGUUCAAAGCCAGCUUCAGCAAUGGCGAGGCGCUAAGGAACUCGGUGAGACCCUGUCUCUA